GCACAACGCGAAGAACCUUACCCACCUUCGACAUGGCAGGAACUUACCAGAGAUGGUUUGGUGCUCGAAAGAGAACCUGCACACAGGUGCUGCAUGGCUGUCGUCAGCUCGUGUCGUGAGAUGUUGGGUUAAGUCCCGCAACGAGCGCAACCCUUGCCAUUAGUUGCUACAUUCAGUUGAGCACUCUAAUGGGACUGCCGGUGACAAACCGGAGAAGGUGGGGAUGACGUCAAGUCCUCAUGGCCCUUAUAGGUGGGGCUACACACGUCAUACAAUGGCUGGUACAAAGGGUUGCCAACCCGCGAGGGGGAGCUAAUCCCAUAAAGCCAGUCGUAGUCCGGAUUGCAGUCUGCAACUCGACUGCGUGAAGUCGGAAUCGCUAGUAAUCGUGGAUCAGAAUGUCACGGUGAAUACGUUCCCGGGUCUUGUACACACCG
rnacentral:rRNA from 1 species